AGAGGUAGAAGAACGAACUCUCCAAACAACACCAACAUGGGCUGUGGCCACUGUUUGCUUUAUUUUGAUAUUGUUAUCUAUCAUAAUUGAGCAUUUGCUUCAUCUUUUGGCUAAGUAUUUCAACAAGAGAAGGAGGAACGCACUCAUACAGGCUCUUGACAAGAUCAAAUCAGAAUUGAUGCUUUUAGGUUUCAUGUCCUUGUUGCUAACUGUGAGCGAAAAGCCUAUAGCAAAUAUCUGCAUCCCCAAGAGUGUAGGCGAAACUUUUCUUCCCUGUGGUAGUAUGACUUCCGGGGAGAGCGAGGAAGAAGCCAAAUGUGCUGAGCAGGGAAAGCUCUCUCUGUUGUCCAGGUCGGGUGUGAGGGAACUCCAGUUCCUCAUCUUUGUGUUGGCUUCUUUCCAUUCCUUUUCAUGCAUACUCAUUUUUGGGUUAGGAAUGGCCAAGAUGAGGAGAUGGGAGAAUUGGGAGGCUGAAACAAGAACCCUUGAAUACCAAUUUUCAAAGGAUCCAAGAAGGUUCCAGCUCACCCAUCAAACAUCAUUUGGCAAGAGGCAUCUCAGAUAUUGGACUGAACACAGCCUUCUUCGAUGGCCGACAUGUUUUCUGAGGCAGUUUUAUGGAUCUGUCUCAAAAGUGGAUUAUCUCACUCUCAGACAUGGGUUCAUUACGGCACAUUUCGAACAAGGUACCAACUUUGAUUUCCAGAAAUACAUAAAAAGAGCUUUGGAAAAAGACUUUGGGGUGGUGGUGGGGAUAAGGUAUAUAUCUCUAUACUUUAAAGAUAUCUAUACAGAUAAUCACAAUUUUUGUUCAAUGUCAAAUCCAUGAUAUAAUUCUGUUUUUGCAGUUUCUGGAUUUGGAUACUCUCUGUUUUUUACAUAUUCUUCAAUGCGCGUAGUAAGAGCAAACCUACUUCAUUAUAUAUUCCUGGCGCAUAAAUUAUAUAUUAAAAGUUCUUAAUGCUAAGUCAACUUCUGUUCUUCAUUUCUGCAGAAUUUCAUAGUUAUUUAUGGCUUCCAUUCAUACCUUUAGUGGUAAGAAAUGAAACCUAUCAAUCAAUAAUGAUUUAUAAAGGAAGUGCAUGAAAAAGACAGAGAGAGUUAAAGUUUUGUUUUUGCAGUUGUUACUGUUGGUGGGUACAAAACUGCAAGGCAUCAUAACUUCAAUGUGCUUAGAUAGCCAUGACAAAUCUCAUGUUGUUAGGGGAACUUUGCUGGUUAAGCCUAGUGAUCAUUUUUUCUGGUUUAGCAGCCCCAAAUUGCUCCUCUACCUCAUACACUUCAUACUGUUUCAGAACUCCUUUCAACUGGCAUUCUUCACCUGGACUUGGGUAAUUAAGAAUCUCAUUAUGGGCUUUGUUUUUCUUGUUUUCUUGGGUAUAUGCUGGUGGAAAAGAAAAAUGUACUACUGAUUUUGCUUAUAAACAUGUACAGUUCAAAUUCGGUCUAAGAUCAUGCUUCCACCGAGAAACAGAGGAUAUUGUCAUAAGGCUUGCCAUGGGAGUGUUGGUACACUUCCUUUGUGGCUAUGUAAUACUUCCUCUAUAUGCUCUGGUCACACAGAUGGGCACUUCGAUGAGGAAAAGUGUUUUCCCAGAUGAUGUGGUAAUCGGUCUUAAGAGAUGGCGAGCCAGGGCCAGGAAAAACCUGAAAGCAUCCUACUCAACUGGUCCUCCAUCGCUUGAUGCUUCCCUUCGAUCCCUUGACAUUUCACCGUCAUUCAGCCUCGAUGCCUCGUUCACUGUAGACUUAGGUAGCUCCUCGGACUCUGAACAUGUUGCCAUUGAAGUGAUGAAUGAAGGGGAAGAAAAAGAAGAAGAAAA
rnacentral:misc_RNA from 1 species